AGGAGCUACGAGGGUAUAAGAAGGGAACCACGGGCGAGCGCGGAGAGGGACUGCGGAGACUGCGUAGAGGAUGAGGCGAGGAGACCUCGAGAAGGAGACUGCGAAAGGAUACUGCGUAGAGACUUCGAGAGAGGAUACUGAGAAACGUACUGAGAGAGGAGCAUAGAGAAGGCCAGGGAGGGUAGUAGGACAGGGAAAAGAAAAACAUGUAAAAGUAGGAAAAGGAAAAAGGAAAAAUAAAGAAGCAACCGCUAGCGGCAAGUUGUCUCAAGGCCCCCAUUUCAAUCCUCAGCCCUUCUCUUUCCCUGCCUCCGAAUCCCGCCGGUCGGGACAGAGGUCAUCCAAAGAAGGCGGUCUUGUUUUACGUGCUGAAAAACUGAAAUUCAAGGCUCACUGCAAUGAAAGACUGAAAAAAAAGUUGAAAAUGGGUGAAAAUGGGUGAUUUAAGAAGACCUGAGCAUGGCGAGCCGUAACAGUUUCAGCCCAAUCUGGAGCCAGACGUUUUUCCAGGAGUGUGUGUUUCUCCAGUGAGGAGUGUCACUUAGAAGCUAAGCACAGGGAUGCUCAGCACUCCAGGAUGUCGCUGCUUGGAGAACCUUCCAGAGGACAGUUUACAGAAUCUUCUGCCACUUGUCCUGACUGCCAUGCCUCUGCCUUGACACUUCUGUGAAAAAAGAAACCCAGAGAGGCAGUUGCUGUUGAUCUGAUAUAAUACACUGCUUAUGUUGACUUCAGAGAGACCCUCAGAAAGAGUGGAAGCAUCCUGCAUGAAGGGUUCUCCUGGGACAGAACUCAGCUAUCGAAACAGUGAAGAAACAAAUUUUGAAACUCUAGACUUUUAGAGCUGAAACGGAAUUUAAAGUCAUCUCAUCCCACCUUGUCACUGACCGAUGAAAAAAGAAUCCUCAAAAUUAAAAGCCAGGAUGAGAAGAAGAAAACCUUCCAACUCUACAGUUCUACUUCUAAUAGUCUCUCUUAGCACCAUGUUGUGGGGACCCCAAAGAUUAAACUAAAAACGAAUAUAACUGGAAAUAGACUCCUUUGAAUAUUAGAAGAAAUGCUUGACACAUAGAUCUUGCUUUUGUUAAUUCCCCACAAGAUUGUCUGACAUAUUAGGUACCAAGCAAGUCAGCUAUUAUCGUUAUCUUGCACCCUCUGGAACUAUGUUCAAACAGAGGCUGCGUGAUCUUUUGGCAGGGAUAUAACAGAAGAGAUUUAAACAUUGGAGGAGACACUGAAACUAAUACCAGCCGGCCAAGAGAUGCUGUGAUGUCGUUAUCUGAAUAACAGAGGUUUUCAUUAUCUGAAUAACAGAGGUUUUUUGCUUUGGGGAUUGGUUUUUUUGGUCGUGGUUGUUUUUUGCUGUUAUGUACAUGUAUUUUACUUUGAAAAUAAAAUCAAAGCACCCUUUCAGAGACCCUGUUACUCCCAUUUUUGUACAUAGAUAUUCUAUUGAAUUUCUUUUUGUCUUUUUGUCUUUUUUUUUU